UGUGCGGCCACAGCUCUGUCCUGACUGGUGAAGUCCAGGCUGGCGGAGACCCUGUCUUGGCGGAACUUGGGUUGCUGGCUUCCUGGUCCCACUCACCCUCUCAAAGCCGUUCUUCACGCGGCGGCCAGAAAUAUUCCUAUCCUUCGUUUCUUCGCUAGUCCUUUACUUUAGUCACUGACGUUUAUUCAGCGACGUGUGUGUGCCAGGAGUUCGAGAUGCAGCAGUUAACUGAGCACGUGGCCCCUUGCCGCCCGCCAGGAGCUCACAGCCAGCAAAGUAGAUGAAGUCCCAGCCCAUUCCACCACACGCACCGAACCUUUGUGUGCCCUGAGUUUCCAGGGCUACAUGUUCCCCAAGGCUGUAGUCCUGGGCCUGUGUGUGUGUGUGUGUGUGUGUGUGUGUGUGUGUGUGUCUGUGUGAGAGUGAUGGGGAAAGGUAGGCAUUGCUGCAGGUAGAAGGGGGCAGCCAGAGUAGAGUCAGGGGCAGCAUCCAGGUGCCUUCCCUGCACCCUUGCUCUUUAACGUAAGUGAGCAUGCUGGGAGGUGCCAGGGGGAGGGGCAGGGAAUAAGAGAUGAGGCUCAGGCAGGGCUCCAUAGGCCAAGCAGUUAACAGCUCUGUCUCGGAGCCCCUGCUCCCCUGGGCAACUUCUCUGCAGGUCUGGGAACUUUAGCUCCUCGGGGGAAGCCCCACCAUAGUUAGGUCCUCUAGGAAUGCCCUCCCUGAGAGUCUUGGUGAAUUCUUUCCAUCCCUUCCACCAAUGGUAAGCUCAGGGGGCAUCUAGUGGGUAGCAAGCAUACAAGAGACACAGACUGAAUACUGGUUGAAUGAACGAAUGGGUGAAUGAAGACAGUCAUGACACGGCAGGAAGAGGAUAGGGCAGUGGCUGGAUUGGGACCCUGGCCAGGCCUGCAGGCCUUGCCAUCCCUGGGAAGAAGGGCUUGUGGCUACGUGGCCACCCCACUUACACUCUGAAGAGCCCCCUCUGGUCAGGGUGCUGUGCUGGGGAACAGAUCUCUCUCAGGUGCUCUAAGGGGCACACUGUUUUUGGCCAAGUCCUCAGAGCUCUCCAGGAAGGUCCUGUCUUUGGCAUCUGGCAGGUGCUAUCCAGUUAAGGUGGCACAGCACACACUGGCCUUGAUAUGCUACAGCAAGGACACUUGUGCCUGUGGGACCAGCCAGUAUCCAUUCAAGUAGGUCCCAUGGCCCAGUUGUGCAAUACCCUGCAAGUGUUUGUUCCUUCACCUAGGCCCCAGGCUGCUUCCUCACUGUCACACCCUAUGCCCAGGCCUCCUUACCACUGAUGGACUGAUGCACUCCACACCAUGUCGACAGCUACCCCACCUUCCGAGCUCAGUAGCCAAUUCAGCACCUUCUGCUUCCUGUGUCCAAAUCCAAGUGCAUGACUAUUCCUCCCACACCUGUUGGCCUGCCAGUGAAAUGUACUUCCCUCCACUGUCACCCUUAUCCUUCCCUGUCUCCACCCAGCCCAUCACCACCACCACCACCUUAGUUUAAACUAGCUGGCUUCACCUUUGGCCUAGCAUGGACCCUGUGAUAACGCCAUGGUGGACUGUUCUUCCUGGGAGAGGAGUCUAUUUCCCUGCCCCCUGCCAGCGGACCUGGCCAUAUGACUUACCUUGCCCAAUGAAAUGCAAACAGAAGUUACGUAAGUGACUCCAGGAAGAAUAUUCAAGAGCCUGCACCUGCACCCGGUUCUCUGAGAUGGUGGAAGUGUGACAAGAUGGAUCCACACCAGCAAACACCAGCAAUGCCCCUGUAGCUAGACUCAGUGAGAUGCGGCAGAAGGGGAAGUCAGACUCAAAAGCAGGAGAAGGACUUGAUGCGCCAUUACUGGCUCUGAAGAUGAAGGAGGCUAGGAGCCUCAGUCAUACAACCACAAGGAACUGGAUUCUGCUAACAGCCUGAAUGGACUUGGGAGAAGUGGGUUCUUCUCUAGUUGACCUAGGGACACCUUGACUUUGGCCGUACAAGACCCUAAGCAAAAGACCCAGUCACUUGAUGCUGGACUUCUGACCCACAGAAAGUGUCAGAUAAUAAAUCUAUGUUGUUUUAAGCUGA